UACGUAGGGUGCAAGCGUUGUCCGGAAUUAUUGGGCGUAAAGAGCUCGUAGGCGGUCUGUCGCGUCGGCUGUGAAAACCCGGAGCUCAACUCCGGGCCUGCAGUCGAUACGGGCAGACUGGAGUUCGGCAGGGGAGACUGGAAUUCCUGGUGUAGCGGUGAAAUGCGCCGAUAUCAGGAGGAACACCGGUGGCGAAGGCGGGUCUCUGGGCCGAUACUGACGCUGAGGAGCGAAAGCGUGGGGAGCGAACAGG
rnacentral:rRNA from 1 species